AGUCGUAACAAGGUUUCCGUAGGUGAACCUGCGGAAGGAUCAUUACAGUAUUGUUUAGGGGGGACUGCUGCUGGCUCCUAGGAGCAUGUGCGCGUCUUCCUUUCUAAUAUUCACACCUGUGCACCUAUGGAUGUGGUCCUAUUAUAUAUUAGGACCUUGUCCAUUAUCAUACAUAUAAAGCCUGUCUCUAAUGCAUGUAUUGACGUUCUAAGGAGCGGAUAUAUAAAUACAACUUUCAACAACGGAUCUCUUGGCUUUCGCAUCGAUGAAGAACGCCGCGAAAGUGCGAAACGUAAUGUGAAUUGCAGAAUUCAGUGAAUCAUCGAAUCUUUGAACGCAUCUUGCGCUCCUUGGUAUUCCGAGGAGCAUGCCUGUUUGAGUGUCGCGACCCUCCUCAAUCCCUUCUCCCUCUUCUGUGGGGGUUUUGGGAUUGGACUUUGGACGUCUGCUGUGGGGAACUAGUCCUCUCCUAUCGGCUCGUCUUGAAAUGUAUUAGCUGUGAAACUUGUCGUUAGAACGGUGUGAUAAGAAUACAUUUUUCUGUAGCGUCGUCUCUAAUCAAGGGCACUGCUUCUAAUCGUCCUUUGGACAAUUCAUGUCAUCUGACCUCAAAUCAGGUAGGACUACCCGCUGAACUUAAGCAUAUCAAUAAGCGGAGGAAAAGAAACUAACAAGGAUUCCCCUAGUAACGGCGAGUGAAGCGGGAAGAGCUCAAAUUUGUAAUCUGGCGGCCUCUGGCCGUCCGAGUUGUAGUCUGGAGAAGUGUUUUCUGUGCCGGACCGUGUACAAGUCCCUUGGAACAGGGCGUCAUAGAGGGUGAGAAUCCCGUCUCUGACACGGACUACCGGUGCUUUG
rnacentral:rRNA from 1 species